ACAAGCGGAGGAGCAUGUGGUUUAAUUCGAUGAUACGCGAGGAACCUUACCUGGGCUCGAACGUAAGAUGACUGUAAGGUGAAAAGCUUUACAUCUCUUCGGAGCAUUUUACGAGGUGCUGCAUGGUUGUCGUCAGCUCGUGCCGUGAGGUGUCGGGUUAAGUCCCAUAACGAGCGCAACCCUACCUUAGUUGCCAUCAGGUAAUGCUGGGGACUCUAAAGGAACUGCCUACGCAAGUAGUGAGGAAGCGGGGAUGACGUCAAAUCAGCACGGCCCUUACGUCCAGGGCUACACACGUGCUACAAUGGCCGAUACAGAGGGCAGCUACCUGGUGACAGGAUGCAAAUCUCCAAAGUCGGUCUCAGUUCGGAUCGGAGUCUGCAACCCGACUCCGUGAAGUUGGAUUCGCUAGUAAUCGCGCAUCAGCCAUGGCGCGGUGAAUACGUUCCCGGGCCUU
rnacentral:rRNA from 1 species